ACGGAGGGUGCAAGCGUUAAUCGGAAUUACUGGGCGUAAAGCGCGCGUAGGCGGCAAUAUAAGCUAGAUGUGAAAGCCCAGGGCUCAACCUUGGAAUUGCAUUUAGAACUGUAUAGCUAGAGUACAGCAGAGGAUAGUGGAAUUUCAGGUGUAGCGGUGAAAUGCGUAGAGAUCUGAAGGAACAUCAGUGGCGAAGGCGACUGUCUGGGCUGAUACUGACGCUGAGGUGCGAAAGCGUGGGGAGCAAACAGG
rnacentral:rRNA from 1 species